rnacentral:rRNA from 1 species
UGCAGAAUCCCGUGAACCAUCGAGUCUUUGAACGCAAGUUGCGCCCGAUGCCAUUAGGUUGAGGGCACGUCUGCCUGGGUGUCACAUAUCGAAGCCUCCUGCCAAUAUCCCUUUGAUUAUUGUGCAGGGCGGAUGUUGGCCUCCCGUGAGCUCUUUAGUCUCAUGGUUGGUUGAAAAUUGAGACCUUGGUGGGGUGUGCCAUGAUAGAUGGUGGUUGUGCGACCCACGAGACCAAUCAUGUGCUGCUCUAUUGAAUUUGGCCUCUUUUACCCAUAUGCGUUUCUAAACGCUCGUGAUGAGACCUCAGGUCAGGCGGGGCUACCCGCUGAAUUUAAGCAUAUCAAUAAGCGGAGGAAAAGAAACUAACAAGGAUUCCCUUAGUAACGGCGAGCGAACCGGGAUAAGCCCACCAUGAGAAUCGGUCGCCUUUGGCGUUCGA